GACGAACGCUGGCGGCGUGCUUAACACAUGCAAGUCGAACGGAAAGGCCCUGCUUUUGUGGGGUGCUCGAGUGGCGAACGGGUGAGUAACACGUGAGUAACCUGCCCUUGACUUUGGGAUAACUUCAGGAAACUGGGGCUAAUACCGGAUAGGAGCUCCUGCUGCAUGGUGUGGGUUGGAAAGUUUCGGCGGUUGGGGAUGGACUCGCGGCUUAUCAGCUUGUUGGUGGGGUAGUGGCUUACCAAGGCUUUGACGGGUAGCCGGCCUGAGAGGGUGACCGGCCACAUUGGGACUGAGAUACGGCCCAGACUCCUACGGGAGGCAGCGGUGGGGGAUAUUGCACAAUGGGCGGAAGCCUGAUGCAGCAACGCCGCGUGCGGGAUGACGGCCUUCGGGUUGUAAACCGCUUUCGCCUGUGACGAAGCGUGAGUGACGGUAAUGGGUAAAGAAGCACCGGCUAACUACGUG
rnacentral:rRNA from 1 species